rnacentral:rRNA from 2 species
UGGGGAAUAUUGGACAAUGGGCGAAAGCCUGAUCCAGCCAUGCCGCGUGUGUGAAGAAGGCCUUUUGGUUGUAAAGCACUUUAAGCGAGGAGGAGGCUACCGAGAUUAAUACUCUUGGAUAGUGGACGUUACUCGCAGAAUAAGCACCGGCUAACUCUGUGCCAGCAGCCGCGGUAAUACAGAGGGUGCGAGCGUUAAUCGGAUUUACUGGGCGUAAAGCGUGCGUAGGCGGCUUUUUAAGUCGGAUGUGAAAUCCCUGAGCUUAACUUAGGAAUUGCAUUCGAUACUGGGAAGCUAGAGUAUGGGAGAGGAUGGUAGAAUUCCAGGUGUAGCGGUGAAAUGCGUAGAGAUCUGGAGGAAUACCGAUGGCGAAGGCAGCCAUCUGGCCUAAUACUGACGCUGAGGUACGAAAGCAUGGGGAGCAAACA